rnacentral:rRNA from 1 species
GUGAACGCUGGCGGUAGGCCUAACACAUGCAAGUCGAACGGCAGCACAGUAAGAGCUUGCUCUUACGGGUGGCGAGUGGCGGACGGGUGAGGAAUACAUCGGAAUCUACUUUUUCGUGGGGGAUAACGUAGGGAAACUUACGCUAAUACCGCAUACGACCUACGGGUGAAAGCAGGGGAUCUUCGGACCUUGCGCGAUUGAAUGAGCCGAUGUCGGAUUAGCUAGUUGGCGGGGUAAAGGCCCACCAAGGCGACGAUCCGUAGCUGGUCUGAGAGGAUGAUCAGCCACACUGGAACUGAGACACGGUCCAGACUCCUACGGGAGGCAGCAGUGGGGAAUAUUGGACAAUGGGCGCAAGCCUGAUCCAGCCAUACCGCGUGGGUGAAGAAGGCCUUCGGGUUGUAAAGCCCUUUUGUUGGGAAAGAAAAGCAGCAGGUUAAUACCCCGCUGUUCUGACGGUACCCAAAAAAUAAGCACCGGCUAACUUCGUG